rnacentral:lncRNA from 1 species
GUGUUGGGAGCAAUGCUACAUAAUUCUAGGGAUAAAUCAUUUGGUUAGCCUAGUUCUCUUGCCUACAGCCCAGCUACAGAAUAACUCCAGUUUGGCCUCCGGUCACAACUGAGACUUCAGUGAUCCAGUGAUGCUGUGAUUCUCCAGGACAAGAAACAUCCUGGGAGAACAAACAUCUGCUCAGUUCCUCAUUGUUCUUGGACUGAUUAACAUCUCGUUUACCGGAGAUGUACUGAACUCUCUGCAAGCCUUCCGUUACACCUUGUUUAUCCCAAUGUGAACUAUUGAACUCUCUGCAAGUCAUUUGUUACAUUUGUUUCUCCGGAUGUACUGAAUAAAAGGUGUGGUAAGCUGGGGGCUUUGUCUUUGCUGCCCAGAGCAGCACUCAUCAGAACCAAAGCUCAGCUUCUUCUCAGUCUCAUUUUUCUACCUUUCCUGUAAUUCGCUGUGUGCUGCCGUGGCUUGCAGGAGACCAGGACUAACUGCAGAGGUUCUGGUAAUGUCCCCUUCCCCUGUCCCCUACAUUUGGUGCCCAACGUGGAUGUGAAUCGGAUCCAGGGGUGAACUCACCUGUGAGACAAACUUGGAGUAAGAGAGACAGCACACGGAUCUCCCAGGACGAUUUCCGGACUAGGACGAGGGACACCAGUGUUUUUCAUCUUGUUUGCUGAAGGCAGAGGUAUUCUCAUAAUCUGAAGAUCUUCUUUAAAGAAACCUGCAUAAAUCUCUCCUAUGGUACAAUAAGGAUGGAAGAAAUGAAAAGAAGCUUCCAUAGAGUCUUGUAUCCUGUACAACCUUGAAGAUAUGGAGGUUUCACUUUAAUCACAAAAUAAGGAAAAAGGAGCCCUACUAUAGCUGAGGAACAGCCUGUGAUUUAUGAAGGCACUAGGAGAAUAUUGGCUCUUCUGAAAUACACUUCCUCCAAUGAACUGCUUGUACCGUUGAUCCCAUUGUGAUACCUGCUUAGAACAAGCAACCACCACAAUUGUGUAUAUCUUCAACAAAAUGCUGAAAAGAAACACUUUCUUGUCUUUCAAUUGAAUAUUUUUAUUUCAUAUAAUGCUAGUAGAGAACAAAUAAACCUAUACUAUUGAUUUAUUUAUCAUGAAAUAUUUCAUUAUAUACAUUGUGAUGUGUUAUGUGUUUUUUUCUUUAAUUAGAAAACUAAUAUUAUUACUUCUUAAGUUUAGAAAUACUACCUUAGAAAUUUAUGCUUCAAGAUUCUGGAUUUAUGUACAAAAUACCCUAAAAAGGAACUAUAUUCCUGAGAUGUUCACAAACAAUGCAUUAAAUAAAUCAGAAUGAAUAUUUGAGUUUAUUCUUCGAGGGGGCAAAAUAAAAUAAAUAUUUCAAUCUUACAUGACUUGGAAAUAAAUGACUAAAGAAGUGUGGCUUUCUGGGAGGAGUGUAUAGGUACAUUUACCCUUCCAUUCAUCAGAUAUGAUUUCUUUUUUUUUAAAUUAGUUUUAUUGGUACAUUUUAGGUAUAUAAUAUAAUGACAUUCAUCAUUGGAAAUUUGCACCUCUACAUAAUCUCUUGAUUCUUACUUUUUCCCCAUUCCCCUGCCCUUCUUUCAACCCCUCCACCCCUCCCUAUUUACAAAGACUUUCCAUUUUUUCAUUUUCUCAUAUUAAUUUCAUUCCCUUCUUUCCUUUUCCCUGCCCCUCCCACUUCCCAUUCCCCUUUGCACCUUUUCUUCCUAUUUCACAUUAUCUAUUAUACCUUUUAGUCUUUAUUUAUGCCUUCAGUUUCUCACACUAGAAAAACUAUUCAGUAUUUACACGUGUGUGUCCUAUUCAUUUCACUUAGGACUACCACCUCAAUGUGCAUCCAUUUAGCAAUAAAUGUCUCUAAUUUCCAUUUUUUAUGGCUGAGUAGUACUCCAUUUAUAAAAAACCCCACAUUUUUUAUGUGCAUCCAUCUUCAUAGCAGCACAAUUUGUAAUAGCUAAAACUUGGAAGCAGCCCAAUUACCAAUCAACUGGAGACUGGAUAAAGAAGAUCAGAUAUGAUUUCUGUUAGCUCACUCAAUGCAUCCUAGACACUACACCCUAGACUUAAUGGAUGAGUCUCUCUUUACUUUACUACCAAUUCCUAAUUUUUCAUUGAAUUAUUAAUGGGUCUAGUGGUUGUGAACCUUUUUUAUUGGUUUUGUUUGUCUUUGGUUUACGAGGUUGGAGUGGAGCAGGAGGAGCAAUGAAUAGUAGAAUAUAUAAGGGCAAUAUUGUGUUGAAGUGAUUCAUAAGCCCUCUUUCAUCAAAUGCUAUUGGAAUUGAAUAAUGAAGGCUUGUGAGCUAGAAAAAUGUAAAAUGAAAAUUUUAUUUUCAUAGUGUAUGAAAACAAGGUUGUACAAAAUAUUCUUAUAAUGAAAAAUUUAAGGAUGUGAUAAAUGCCCGACAUAAAGUGGAAAAGACUAUUAUAAUUUCAAAGUACUCUGAUCAUCUAUGUUAAAGAAGCUUUCUUGGAAAGACAUGAGCAUCUUGUUGGAGUAGUAUCAUAACAAGGUAAUACCCUCAGUACAUGAGGUAAAAGGACCCAAGUUACCCAAGUUAUUUAGAUGAAUGCAUCAAGAGUUAUCAUGGUUGGAGUGUCUCUGAGGAGUAAGGAAGAACAAUUGUCUACUCUGAUGUUUUCUUUUUCUCAUUGUGUAAGAAUAAAGAAGAAGCUGGAAAGAUUGCUGGUGAAUCAAUAUAUUCGUGGAGAAAUGAGUCUAGUUAAAACAAGAAACUUAAGAAAAUGUUCACAAAUGACGCCUUGGAGAACUUUGCUCAUAAAUGACUGUGAGUCCAGGGAGGAUACUGGAAGGCAGACUACUGUGACAAAGUAUGUUAGGCAAUAAGGGUGACCUGAAAAUCUUACAGUUAUGAUUUGACAAACAGAAUUAAAUAGCAGAGCUGAGAUGAGGCCCACUAAUCUCUAGGUAGAUAGUGAAGCUGAGACUACACUUAGUGUUGUUGGAAGAACGUUGAAAUGGUGAGAUCUCUCCAGACAGUAUGAUUCUCAGACUUUCUUAUGUCCUACUCAUGACACUGUGGAAGUUGCAGAGAGGAACUUCAUCCAGAGAGCAUAAGGACUUCCGUGACUGCCUCUUCAAUUCUGCUAUCGGAGGCAGUCUAGGGGAGGUGUGGUCUUAUCCACGUAUCUGUUCCUCCUUCACUCACUGAAACACAUUUAUAAAACUGGGCCUGGGAUUUAGCUCAGUGGUUCUGCUGCCUGCCUCGCAAGGACAAGGUCCCAAGCUCGAUCCCUGGUACCAAAAACAAAACAAAACAAAACAAAAAAACUACCCUAACAAUUUCAAGAAAACAACCUUAUGUUAAUUUUCAACACAGUCCAAUCUUUCAUGGUACUGGCAGCAAAAUAUUUGUUUUAGCUAAGGAAAAAUUAAUAAGUCUUUCUGGCAGCAGGAGUAUAUUAUUUAGGGUACUCUAGGGAAACAGAGUCAAUUGAAUAUAUAUGUGUGAUUAUGCACUGGAAUUCAUUAACUAGGCUUACAGGAUCAGAAAUGAGAGAGCCCACAAUGGCAUUUGUGGGACCAGACGCAAGAGAGUCCGCAAUAGUCACUUGAACAUUACAGACCCAGAAGAUACAGGAGAUGCUUGGCCAAGAAGGUGGAGGCCACAGGACAGGAGGAUGCAAGGAUACAGCACUUGUCCAAGUUUGAAGGCCUAGAAGCUCCCUGGAUAGUUACCAAUAUGAGUCUGUGUUAGAAAGCUAAAGAAACUGCAGAUCUGGAUACUGAUGUCCAGUGGCAACAGCAGCAGAGUAUACACACAAUUAGGAAGACGGAAGUUCUUCAAACUGUGGACAGUUCCUUGUUUUCUCCUCUUUUUAUUCCAUCCUGGCUACAACCCCAUUUGUUAGUGCCACCUACAUCAGGAAUGAGUCUUCCUCCCUGGGUUGACUGGUUUAUAUAUCAGUCACCCAUUCACAGUUCUGUUAGAUAAUGUGUAGGAUUUCUGACCCCAGAGAAUGCAAGAUGUACUUAGGUAUAAUAAAAUGGAGCAGUUGACCGUUCCAAGGAAUAAUACGUGUAAUUCUAUUGUUUCAAAAACACAUCAUCUAUUGAAGAAUGAGUGAGAGAAGCUCACUACGAUGAUUAUAAUAAAAAUAUAAUGGUACUUCUUUUUAAAAGGACAGUAUAAGGUAAUUUACCAUGUAUACAUCACCUGUGACCCCAACGUUUUAAAUUUUAUGCUCUGUUCAAUGGCAGUAGCAGGGAGUCUGGAGGGAGAAUUCUCUCACAGAUUUACAAACUACCAAAAUGUUUAAACUUAACUAAAUAAAAGACUAUUUGCUAGCCUAGAGUUGUUUUAAGACAAAUUCUUUAGUACCACCUCAACUCUUCAGCAGAGUGUAAUAUUUAAAUGUAAUUUUAUGAGGUCUGGUGUGCCCACAAUAUGUGAAAACAAUGAUUAGUUUUUAUAGAGUUCCUGCAACAUUGCAUUUAAUGAAAGCAAUGAUGGUGAGCUCCUAUUUACCUUUGUACAAGGUUUCUUAAUUUAGCACUGUACCUGAAUAUGUGUGGUAGAGUGCAAGUUUUGCUUCUAUAGUGUCUUAAAAUAUAUUUUAAAUAUGGCCCACCUAAAUGGGCCAUUUUAAAUAUGGGCCAUUUUAAAUAUGGCCCAAGUAAAUGAAAAUAGAAAAAACAAGUGAUCACCUUCAGUACCAUCAGAAAAAAAGUCAAAUGUUACUUAAACAAACAGUGAGAAAUGUGAAAUAGAUAAAUUCUGCUGUAAUACACAGUUUCUUAUGAUGGCUUUUUAGAUCCAAUAUCUCUUGGAGAUCUAAAGUCAGUUUUCAGUUGCAGUUUAAAAGACUGUAAAAAUAGAGGAUUUAUGAUUAUAUCAUAAAGGAUAUCCUAGAGUAUUUAAUAUGAAAUAUUUAAUAUGAAAAUUCUCCAGCUCUCAGGAGCAGCAAUUUUCAGCUCUAUGUUCCAAGUGGAACAUGUUGUCAUCUCCUGAAGCAUUGUUUAUUAUGGUGCUGAGUGUUGGUGUCCUUGGAAUCAGUGUGGAAGUGUGAAAAGAAGUAAAUCUGUUAUCAAGGACAGCUGGAUUUCUUGGGUCAAGGUUUAAAGAUCAGAGCUUUCUACUCUUUUUAAAUAUUUCAUGACUGAUUUCUAGUUUUAGGCAUUCAAAAUAACUCCAAAUGAUGUCAUCAUUUUCUCAGUAGAUUGAGGCUAUCACUAGAAGUUACUGCAACAGAAACAGUCCCUCAUGAUUGGCAAGUUGGUAAGAAUUAGAGGAGACUAUUCAUGCCAGCAAACACAGGACAAUCAUAAGUUUUUGAAAUUAGACAGAUGAAGUUUGUAAUCUGUUGUUGCAAUAUACCACUUGUGUAAGUGAAUUUUAACCCUACCUAUGACAAUUGGGAGAUGAUACCUGUGAAAUAAGUGGCAUGAAUUUUGUAAUGAAAUAAUUUGUUGAUUGUGCAAUUGUGUGAUACGGUUUACAUGUAGAUGGCCCCCUAAAGUCUCACGAGAUCAUAGGUGGGACCUUUGUUUUCCAGGGUUUUUUUUUGUUUUUUCUUGGUUGGGGGUACUGGGGAUCGAACUCAGGUCCUUGUGCUUGCACAGCAGUUGGAGAAACCACUGAGCUAAAUCCCCGGCCCCAUAGGCGGGACAUUUGGAAAGUGAUUGAAUUACAGUUGAGUUGCUGCUUGUAGGUAGAACCUGGUUGGGAGAGGUGGGUCACCAUAAGCAUGACAAAGAAUGUUAUAUCUCCCUUCCAAGCUCUUCAUUUUGUUUUCUGCUUCAUGUCUGCCAUGAGGUAAGUAGCUCUCCUCUGCCAUGUGCCUGUGUCAUGUCAUUCUGUCUUGGAACCAGCCACUAUGAACUGAAGCACAAGCCAAAAUAAACCUUUGCUCCUAUAAGUUUUGGGUAUUAAGUAUUGUAUCUCAGCCAUAAAGAGGGAAGUAACUAAGAUUUUGAUACCAAAGAAGUAGGAUCAUUGCUGUGACACUACUUGUCCUGUGGUUCAGAAACAUUUGGAGGUUGUUUGAGGGAGGAGUUUGGAAAUAUUUGAAGAUACCAUCUGGAGAACCAGACUGAAAAUGCUGCAAACUGAUCAUGAUAGGAGAUUCUGGUCAGAUUUCAGAAGAUCAUAAUGCUGAUAGAAGUCGGUAUAGUAAAGAUGAGGUUCAGGAGGUUUCAGUUGGGAACAAGGACUAUAUUGGCAGUAGUACUCCAGACCAUGUGUGUUACACUUUGGCAGAAAAUUUGUCUACAUUUUACUCAGAGUAAGGGCAGUAGAGUAAUCUGGUGGAGAAAAUUUCAAAGCAGCCUAAUAUUAGGGCUGUGAUAUGUAUACUAUUAGGUGACUUUAGCCAGUCCUAGUUGGAAAACCAGGAGCAAAAAGCCCACUUUUAAAGUUUUCAGUUUUUCCAGAAAAAAAACACCUACAAAGUUGUAGCAGAGGAAAGCAUUGUUGCUGAAAUAAUUAGCAGUGAAUAGAAGCCAAGUAUUUUGAAUCAUGAUAGGAAAAAUACUUUGAGGGCACGUGAAGAAUCAGCAAGGGCCCAACCUUCCCAAUUACAAAAUUGCAAAAGUUAAAAACUUUGCUUUAAAAAGGGGGUCCAAGGUUGCAUGCUUCAGAAGGGCAGCUGGGUAGGGAAUUUGUUCCUCAGGAUUUGACUCAUAGUGUUCAGCCAUCCAGGUAUUCACAGGUCCCUGCUACCAUGAUAUAAGGGAUCCUGGCUACUGCUCAAGCUGAUGCAGACCUUGGCAUAAUCCACACGAUUCUGGUUAUACAGGAAUGCAGAGUGCAAAUCUUCUGCGUUUGAGGAGGCAUUGAGCCAGAUUUCAGAAGGCCUAGAAGGCCAGGCAGUGUGCCCCUGAGAAGGCAGUGCUUGAAGCUGGUGAGAGUGAAACUGAGUGUGCAAUAAAGACCCCAGAGAGUUGGAGGAACCAGAAACAUGGAACAUCUGAGGAAAGCCACUGCAUGAAGCAAAGACACCCCAAGAGAAAAGCUAUUAGAGCUUUAACCACCAAGGAUACUGCAGGGGUAGGGCCGUCCAAGCUAUUUGAAGUUCACAUCUCAGCAUAGUUUUCUCUGGGUUCUAGAUAUGGAGCUACAGGAUUUAAUGUUCUCCCUGUUGAUUUUCAGUCUUGCUUUGGUUCCGUUGAUUUCUAUUCCCACAUUUCUCCUUUUUGGAAUGAGAAUGUGUACCUUAUGCAUUGUAUGCCAGCAGUGUUUAACUUCUUUUGGGUAUUUACUGUGGCUUACAGCUAAGAGUUUCCCUUCAGUCUCAGAGGAUACCUUGGACUUGGCCUUUUCAGCAAUGCUGGGAUGGUUAGGAAUUUGGCAACUGUUAGAAACAGACUAAAGGAAAUUUGCAUAAAUAUAUAUGCAUGAAUCUUUGGGGAUUAGGGAUGGAAUUUUAUGAUUUAUGUCUAGAAGUCCCAUAAUAUUGUAGGUGGACUUUAAGGAAGGUGAUUAGACUAUAGGGGUAUUAUAGGUGAAGUGUAUUAGGAGGUGGGGCUUGGUUAGAAAAGACAAAUCACUGUAGAUAUGACCUGGAAGGCGAUAUCUCCCUUCCAAGCUCUUCUCACAGUUCUGUGCUUCCUAGAUGCCAUGAGAUAAGCAGCUUGGCUCCUCCUAGCCCCUUCAACUAUGCUGUUAUGACAUCAAGACAGCUGAGUAUGUACUGCAACCUUUACAAAUGGUGAGCCAAAGUAAACCUUUGGUCAUUUACUUUGUGGGUGUGAGGUAUUGUCUCUAAGCCAUAAGAAAAGUGACUACGGCAUGUACCACCCUUAAAACAGGCAGGCAUACAGUAAAGGGGAAAAAAAACCCUCACUUAUUCAGUGAAAGAAGAAUCUGUGGGAAAAAAACAAGAGUGAAUAUAUUUUAUGAUACUAAUUAAUGUUGGUUAUGAAAUAAUGAUCAAUAUCAUUAACAUAAAAACAUUAAAUCUAAAGAAUGUUCAUAGUAUACAUAAUUAAAACAGUGUCACUGGGUUUGGCAAUCUAUAAGUCAUUGAUAAAUUUGGAAUGACCAUAUUACUAUAUGAAUGAAAUACAGACAUUUGGAUGUGUAAAUUAAAAUAGAAUUUAAAUUUUACUUUAAGAGGGAUGAUCAGUGGAGUUAUGCAGAAAUGUUUCUUGUUCUUUUGAUGAGACCUAAGUAUACGUACAGACAGAUUACAAGGAGCAAAUUGAUGAAUUAAAAAUACUGAUGAAAUCAGACAUCAUAAUUACAGUAAAGGCCCAUAGAAUGUGAUAGAAGAGUAGCAGUGGAGGAGCAUGGAAGGCACUUGCACUUGAAUAGAUCAAAGAAAUACAAUGUUGUUGAGAUGUAGAAUAGGUCAUUCAUACAAAAGAGAGCAAAUGAUUGUGAUAGUGGCAGGAUCAUGAAACAAGAAUUUACUAGCCAUGUACUAAUCAUUUCCCUGAUGAAAGGAAAGCAGAUUUUAUUUAUCUGUGAGACUGAUAAAUAAAAAAAAUAUAUCAGAUGGGAAACAAGGAUCUUGUUCUGAGUAGGGACAUGCAAUGGUCUAAAGGCAGUAUCUUUAUGUGACUUUAGAUGUAAGAGGAUGAACAAGUUGCACUGCAGAUCUGCCAUGGUGAGUUAACUUUAAAAAGAGACAGAAUAAGGUCAUGAUGUGAGAUUGGAGGUAGGCAAAGACCUGGUGAAUAUACAUAACGAUUAAAAGGGGUUUAUUAGUAACAAAUCAUACUUUCCACAAGGAAACGGGGACUGAUGCGAAGGUGGGGAUAGUAGACAGUGAAUUAGAAACAUAAAAAUAUGAGGAGAGAGAGAGAGAGGCAGAGAGAAUGAAAGAACAGAAAUUCCCAUUUGGGCUAUAUUUGGAUAUUGACCAAAGUUAUACAAAGUUAUAAAGGAUGCAAUAAUUUUCCACUGAAUAAAACCAAAAAUAUGCUUCAUCAAAAGCACAGGCUGAGACUUCAGGAAAAAAGCCCUUACAGAGG